AUUAGCUGAUGAGUCCCAAAUAGGACGAAAUGCGCAUCGUAGAU
rnacentral:hammerhead_ribozyme from 1 species